UACGUAGGUGGCAAGCGUUGUCCGGAUUUACUGGGCGUAAAGAGCGCGCAGGCGGUCGUUCAAGUCGCGUGUGAAAGCCCCCGGCUCAACUGGGGAGGGUCACGCGAUACUGAUCGACUCGAAGGCAGGAGAGGGAAGUGGAAUUCCCGGUGUAGUGGUGAAAUGCGUAGAUAUCGGGAGGAACACCAGUGGCGAAGGCGAGUUCCUGGACACUUCCUGACACUGAGGCACGAAAGCUAGGGGAGCAAACAGG
rnacentral:rRNA from 1 species